rnacentral:lncRNA from 1 species
GUGCCGGGGCUCGGGCUCCUCACGGGGCCCUGCGGGGACGGCUCUCACUCACUUAUUUCUCUCUUUCCCGGCUCUCGGCAAGCCAGCAGCUCUCUCCUGGCUUUCAUUUUCAUUUAAGCUGAAAAAAUCAAAAACAAAUGGAAUGCACUUAAGAGAUGCCUGGAGGAGUCGGCAGUCCACCCGGCUGGGCUCCUUUCGGGGUCUUGGCAAUUAUCAAUUAUUCAUCGAGCCCUCAUUACGUUCCUGGUGCCACCAAGACAGAAAGGAGGCAGGGUCCCCACCCCGGGGACUCCCCAGGGAAGAAAGGAGAGUUUGUGAAGCUAAAACAAUGCUCCAGCUGAAAAGACAGGGAAUAAUAACAGCGAUGUCCUCCGGAGUUGUGAGCCUAAACCAUGGGGUGACACAGACGGAGCAGCCCAGCCCGACAGCGCCUCUCGGGGGGCACUUGAUGGAGCUGUGGUGAUUCUGGGAUGAAAGCAUCAUGAAAGCGCCUGGAGGUCACGCAGACAAAGCAGCAGGCAAGGCCCUCAGAGAAGGGCCACCUGGAGCAGAGCGGGAAGAGAAGGCGCCUUUAUCAGGUGGAAUGCAGGGGCGGGACAAAAGGAAAAGAAAACCCCGCCCCGGCCGGCUCCUAAGACUGGGAAUGAUGAGGUCCUGUGUCCAGGGCUCUGCAGAGCCCUUAUCAGUGUCCCUGUGACACUGACCGGGGAUGAGGACGGUGCUGAGAUGGAG